rnacentral:rRNA from 1 species
UACGAAGGGGGCUAGCGUUGUUCGGAAUCACUGGGCGUAAAGGGCUCGUAGGCGGCCAACUAAGUCGGAUGUGAAAUCCCCAGGCUCAACUUGGGAACUGCAUCCGAUACUGGAUGGCUUGAAUUCGGGAGAGGGAUGCAGAAUUCCAGGUGUAGCGGUGAAAUGCGUAGAUAUCUGGAGGAAUACCGGUGGCGAAGGCGGCAUCCUGGACCGGCAUUGACGCUGAGGUGCGAAAGCGUGGGGAGCAAACAGG